UACAGAGGUCUCGAGCGUUAGGCGGAAUCACUGGGCUUAAAGCGUGUGUAGGUGGAUGCCUAAGUACCUUGUGAAAUCCCACAGCUUAACUGUGGAACUGCUUGGUAUACUGGGUGUCUUGAGUCACUCAGGGGCGAGCGGAACAAAUGGUGGAGCGGGUGAAAUGCGUAGAUAUCAUUUGGAACGCCAAUGGUGAAAACAGCUCGCUGGGGGUGUACUGACACUGAGACACGAAAGCCAGGGGAGCGAACGGG
rnacentral:rRNA from 1 species